UACGAAGGGGGCUAGCGUUGCUCGGAAUCACUGGGCGUAAAGGGUGCGUAGGCGGGUCUUUAAGUCAGGGGUGAAAUCCUGGAGCUCAACUCCAGAACUGCCUUUGAUACUGAAGAUCUUGAGUUCGGGAGAGGUGAGUGGAACUGCGAGUGUAGAGGUGAAAUUCGUAGAUAUUCGCAAGAACACCAGUGGCGAAGGCGGCUCACUGGCCCGGUACUGACGCUGAGGCACGAAAGCGUGGGGAGCAAACAGGG
rnacentral:rRNA from 1 species